UUUCCGUAGGUGAACCUGCGGAAGGAUCAUUACCGGCACCGACCGACGCCUUCAGUGGCUAGGUCUUAGGAGCUCACACCCUGGCCCGUAAUUCGCGAACCCCUUCGAGGGGUCCUGCGUCGGGUUUCAUGUGUUCACACUCUUACCCACUGUCAAACUUAAACCUUUGCUUCGGCAGCGCCGUAACCGGGUAAGGCUGUCCGAAGCUCGCAACAAAACCUGUUGAUGAAAUGUCAUGCUGUCUGAUACGUAUUAGUUUUGAGAAAUCAAAUCAAGUUAAAACUUUCAGCAACGGAUCUCUUGGUUCCCGCAUCGAUGAAGAACGCAGC
rnacentral:misc_RNA from 1 species